ACACGCAUGACACACUGCAUAUCAAUAAGCGGAGGAAAAGAAACUAACAAGGAUUCCCUUAGUAACGGCGAGUGAAGCGGGAAGAGCUCAAAUUUGAAAUCUUCAAGGUUCUACCUUGACGAAUUGUAGUUUAAUAGAAGUGUUUUCUGUUAGUGGAGUUGGCUAAAAGUUCUUUGGAAUAGGACAUCAUAGAGGGUGAGAAUCCCGUAUUUGACCAUUAUUUCCAGCUGUGUGAUACACUUUCAAAGAGUCGGAUUGUUUGGGAAUGCAGUCCAAAAUGGGUGGUAAAUUUCAUCUAAAGCUAAAUAUUGGCGAGAGACCGAUAGCGAACAAGUACCGUGAGGGAAAGAUGAAAAGAACUUUGAAAAGAGAGUUAAACAGUACGUGAAAUUGUCAAAAGGGAAGCGUUUGACACCAGUGUUGUUUUUCCGAAAAUCAAUUACGAAUGUUUUAUUUUUGAGGAGUUAUGACUUCAUCGGCUUGCUUCCUCUCUUUAUGAAACUUUCUUAAUGCACUUUUCGGUUAACAAGUCAACAUCAAUUUCUUUUGUUGUAAAAGGGUAUGAGGAAGGUGGCUUUCUUUUCGGAGAAAGUGUUUAUAGCCUUGUACCUCUGCAAUCGGAGAGAUUGAGGUCUGCAGCGUAGAUCCUUCGGGGUUAGAUACAUUUGUGCUAAGUUAUAGCUUUUCAUAGACAACUUGUUGACUAUGUUUAGUCUUGUAGCUUACUCGCAUGCGCUAUUUUACCUACGCUUAGGAUGUUGACUGAUAUGUAGUCGU
rnacentral:rRNA from 1 species